rnacentral:tRNA from 1 species
UGGCCGAGCGGCCUACGGCGCUGGAUUUGUGCUCCGGUCUCUCCGGGGGCGUGGGAUCAAAUCCCAC